UAGGGCCCAGAGACUUCCCUGUCUGCUCAGGGAAAUAUAUCUGCUGACUGCGCAGGCGGAAUGGCCGGAACAGACAGCCACGAGGUCUCUCAACUCAACG
rfam:Methanosarcina sp. Ant1 MSANT_contig000176, whole genome shotgun sequence.